CUCUCACUUUUAUUGAGUUGCAAAUCUGGGGGCAGGGUAGAUAGGGCGUGGCAGUGAUAGGGUCAAGUACAUCACGUGUCAUUCAGGUAGGGGCUCAGGAAUUUCGCACCUGAAGUAAGGUAAGGUGCAUAAUGCAUCAGCACUUUUUCCACACUUAUCAAGAAAGAACUAAAACAUUAAGAUUUAUAUUACUAUUACUGAAUAUCUUUUCUAAGUAAAAA